CAGUGCACUAUGUAAACAUACAAAUUUGGAGCAGGAAUAGGUCUUCGGCCUCUCCUACCUGCUUGGCCAUUCUUUAAGAUCAUAUAUGAUCUGAUUAUGGUCUCAACUCCCCUUCCCCCAAUAUCCUGUACAGACAAAGUGCACCCUUAUUAAAAGUGAAUAGCAUUUUAGUAAAGAUUGGCAUGUUUUUGGCAGCUCUUCCGAUUUUGGCACUAGCUCUCAGAAGUUAGUAAGGAGGACUUUGCAGGAUCAACAGGGCUGUUUCUGCCAUCGUCAUUUCUGCUGUCUAGAUCAAUGCCAGCUGGUCUAUCUAGUUUCAUUUCUCUAUUGAAACUUUGUAGCAAGUGAUACAGUUAAGUGGCUUGCUCGGCCAUUUCAGAGGGUAGUUGAGAGUCAAACACAUUGCUGUGGGUCUGGAGUCACACUUAGGCCAGACCAGGUGAGGAUGGCAGAUUUCCUUCCCUGAAGGACAUUAAUGAUGUUUAAUGUUUUAUGUGCUUUCAACAUUUUCUCAACAGUAACAUGUAUCAUAGCACGCAGUUCCAAAAUAUCGUAACUACUACCCGAUUUAGUAUGGGUUUGCAGUAAGCUUUGCUGUCCAGUCAAACUACUUGACUCUGUUUACUCCCUGAGUGUAAAAUCAUCUGAUGAAUUUCAGCUGAAUGUUUUUUCUUAAAAUACAGAAUACUUGGAAUGUGGAGCUUACUCUGGUUUGAAGGAGAAAGCAAUGAUUAAUUUUAAGAGGAGACUUGUAUACAUGAGAGAGAAGGAAGUAAAGGCAGAGGGGAGCAAGGUCAGAAAAAAUAAUUGCAGAUAAAGAAAUCUUGCAUGGAAUAUAAGAUCUCACAAAUACCAUUUGGGUUGAGUGGCCCAUUUCAGCAAUGUGGAUUCAAUGAAAUUCUGAUGUGAACUACAUUUUGGACAGUAGCUUUUUUAAAUAUAUUUCACAUGCAGAGUUCCAUAAAGUCUUCCAGCUGCCAAUAGGAAGAGAACAAGGUACUGCAAUAAUUCUGGAUGAGUAUUUGUUCGAAAGUUUGUUUUUGUUUGCUAAGGAUUUAUAGGUGUUUUGUAAAUAAAUUACUGAUCUGACAACAAACCUCCACCUCCAAUAAGGUCUUCAAAUGUAACAAUGCUGCACCUUUGUUUUCAGUCCAUUCAUACACUCUGAAAAACACCAGAGGGCUAUCAAAUCCUUGACUGGAGCAUGGUAUAGCAGGCAACUGCAUGGUGGGCUCAUUUCAGCUAAUUCCCGAAACUGGUGACCAUGUCCAUUGUACAAUGCUCUCUAUUUUUCGUGAGAUAGAGUAGUGUAUUGAUGCAGUUUGCAGUGGGACAAGAUGGGAUGCGGGUGUUGCUGCCUCGACCGGCAUUUAUUGUCCAUCCCUAAUUAUCCUUGAGAAGCUGGUGCUGAGCUGCCUUCUUAGAAUCAUAUAGUACAGAAGAGGCCCUUUGGUGGUAAAUUUGUGCUAGUCGCACUUUUUACAGCAUUCGGCUCAUAGCCUUGAAAGAUGCCUACAGGAUAAACAAAGUUCUAUUAACACUCCAGGAUGCCAUCAAUCAUCUGCUGUCUGAUCCAUUUUGGUUUAAAAUCAUGUUUUUGGAAAGACUGACCUGGUUAGUUAUUAAACAUAUUCACAAAAUA